rnacentral:rRNA from 1 species
AAAGGCGCUUUCGGGUGUCGCUGAUGGAUGGACCCGCGGUGCAUUAGCUAGUUGGUGAGGUAACGGCUCACCAAGGCCACGAUGCAUAGCCGACCUGAGAGGGUGAUCGGCCACAUUGGGACUGAGACACGGCCCAAACUCCUACGGGAGGCAGCAGUAGGGAAUCUUCGGCAAUGGACGAAAGUCUGACCGAGCAACGCCGCGUGAGUGAAGAAGGUUUUCGGAUCGUAAAACUCUGUUGUU